rnacentral:rRNA from 1 species
GCCUGUAUGAAGUCGGAAUUGCUAGUAAUCGUGGAUCAGCAUGCCACGGUGAAUACGUUCCCGGGCCUUGUACACACCGCCCGUCACACCAUGAGAGCCGGGAACACCCGAAGUCCGUAGUCUAACCUAUAUGGAGGACGCGGCCGAAGGUGGGUUUGGUAAUUGGGGUGAAGUCGUAACAAGGUAGC